rnacentral:RNase_P_RNA from 1 species
AGACAAACGCUGGGACUUUUGAGGUCCUUGAGGAAAGUCCAUGCUCGCACAAUCUGAGAUGAUUGUAGUGUUCGUUCCUAGGAAAUAAAUAACCUAGGGUAGCUUUUGCUAACGGCGGAUUUUGUAUCUAAGUCUUUGAUAUGAUACAAACCAUAAAGUGCCACAGUGACGAAUUCUUUGGAAACAAAGAAGUGAAACGCGGUAAACCCAACGAGCGAGAAACCCAAAUUUUGGUAGGGGAGUCCUAAGAGAAGAAUUUGAAUUCGAAUAGGGACCGGUAACGGUAGAUAAAUGUUUGUCGCUUAGGAAACUAAGAACAGAACAUGGCUUAUU